GGAAAAUGGUUCUUUAUUUGAUGUAUCUGAAAUUAAAGGUUUUCUCAAAAUAUAUUUAUUGUUCAUGUUCUUAGAUUACUAGUCUGCAUACUGAAAAGAUGAUGACAAAAGUGUAGGAGAACAGAUGCAGAAGCCAUUGUUCUGACUUCAUUUCAUCUGGUUAUAUGAAAAGCAUGUUGCCAUUGUCAAAGGGAUCGAUCAAUUGUUUGUAUGAGUAAAACUCAAAAGGACACUACAAAUUCUUCGUUCUUUUGAUAAAUUUAUAAUUUUUAAUAAGUUAAAAUUUACUUUAAAUUUUUGAUAUUUUAUAUUAAAAAGUUAAUGAGACUAGAAGAGAGGAAAAAAAGAAUGACACAUGAGGGCUAAGGACGAUGAAAGCGAUGAUGACGACGAUCGAAGAUUAGAUGACGGAGAGAGAGAGAGCUUUGAGGGGGAGGAGGAGGAGGAGGAGGAGGAGGGAAGGCAGUGGUGGUCGGCCUUAGAGUGGACUCGCAGAGCCGAGAAGUCCUCGCUACCCUGGCGGCAGUGUCGUCGUCGUCCGCGUCCUGUCUCCGCGUCGCCAUGCUGCGGCGGCAGCGCUUCAGCGUGCAAGGAUUCUGGCGGUCAGCCGCCCGCGUUGUUCUCUCUCGCCAAGGACUUGGGCGCUAUGCUCGCCGUCUACGAGGGCUUCUGCGACCUUCAGCAGGCACCUUACCCGCACCUCAAAAUCCAGUCUUUAUGCUCAAAGCCGGACCUUCAUCGAUCUCGUCGAUUUCCCCGGUUGAUCGACCUAAAGCUGAAUUUUUUGCAAGCGUUCCACCGUCCGUAGGGUUCUGACGCGAGAGAGGAGAGCUUUCGCAGUGUCAAAACUCGUUCUUGGGGUCGCCGAGAACAGCUACGCCGUAGAAUGUUUCACUGGUUUCUCUAAGUUCUGUGCUGGAGACUGCUUUUGCCAAAGAUUCACUAUUUUGAGCUCGCUAAGAAGCAACUGUUCCAUAGCUGCGCCUGAAUCGGAUUCUGCUCUCUUGAAUAGGUUGAAGGACGAAGAGUCAUCGGCCUUGGUGCCAUUGGAGAAAUCUGUGAAGCUCCACAGAAUAGCUCUGUGCCUAUUAUGGUCAAGGAUAUGCCGGAAUCUCAACCUGGUUGGUCUUCUCUUAGAAGCCCGGUCCUAACAAGCAGGAAGACUGUUUCCAUGGAGAAGCACGAGAUCUCUUUAGUCCAAUGGGUUACAAGUCCAGGAAGUUGGAUCGAAGUAUUACACAAAAACUAUAUGGAGAGAACAGCAGGGCCAUUGUUCCGGUUGGACCUGAUUCACCACCACAGGGGGCUGUCUUAUGAGUUGAAGUCUCUCCAUUAGAAGCAUUUAUCUGUUUGCAGAUUUUUCAGCUGCAUGGAACUCACAUGAGCAACAUCCAACUUCUCACGCGGUAAUUUCUGAAAUUUUGUCAUGCUAAUCGUGUUUAAUUCAUGAACAUUUCUUAUGUUAAUCAAGUUCUCAAUGCUGGUUUCUGAUUGGGAAGGGAAGAAUUAGCAGUGUUUCUAAUGGCGGUCUUUCAGAUGGCAAGGAAUUGGCUUUAAAAAUCUUGAAGCCCUCUGAAGAUGCAACAAAAGAGUUCUGUUUCAGAGAUUGAGAUUGCCACUACCCUUGCAUCACAAAAACAUUAUUUCGCUGCUCAGGUUUUGCUUUGAGAAUAACUGUCUAAUAUUGGUCUAUGACUAUGUAUCAAGGGAUAGCUUAGAACAAAUCCUCCAUGGUAUGCAUUUUGCAAACAUGAGUUGCUAAUUUUUCUAUUCAUUUGAUUCACUUUGUCUAAGUCAUGUCUCGUCUCCUAAUAUUUAUUUGUUAGGUGACAAAUAGAACAAGCAUUUUCUCAGUUGGCCUGAAAGAUUCAAGGUGGCAAUAGCAUUGAUCCUGUGAUCCAUAGUGAUGUAAAGUCCUCAAACAUGCUUCUCUCUGAGGAUUUCAGCCUGCAGUUCCUGUUUCUUCUAUGAUGUGCUUCUUGCAUCGCAUCUCUUAUAAAUAUGUGUGUCAUGUUUUUCUUCUUCAAAAUGUUUCAGUUGCCUGACUUUGAAUUGGCAAAAUGGUUAUCAGCAUCAACAUCACGACCAAUUUGCAGUGACAUUGCAGGGACUUUUGGAUCUGUGCUCUUUGUGCAACAAUAGAUCGAUUUAUUUGCUAAAUGUUAGAUCAACAUCCUAAGUGACAACCUCACUUAGCUCCUGAAUAUAUUUUAUAUGGCAAAGUUAAUGAAAAGGUCGAUGUAUAUGCUUUUGGUGUUGUUCUUCUCAAGCUCCAAGUAUUAUAUUUUGUUGGAAAUACUUCGCAUUUAGCUUUGUAAUAUCUAUUUGAGUAUACAUUUUGUUGGUAAAUCCUAUUGUAGAUAAUCCAACUCUGGUUCUCUUAUUUAUUUUCUCCAUGUAAUUGCAGGCAAAGCCAAUCUUACAAGACGUAGCAGUUAAUAGUGAUCAAGGGAAAAGGAUGAUCAUAGCUUCUUCCUUGUGUGUAAGGUGGCUUCAUGGAAUUUGACCUCACAUAACACUUGUUUUAAAGACUACUCCAAGGAGAUGAUGCUGCUGUUAAAUGGGCAAGCUAUGUUUCAUGAUGAAAGUAUCAAACCCAGAAUCUGACAUCCAAUCCCACCUUAGUCACGCAUUAGGACGACCCGAUCUCGAUCAGCAGCAGCGAUCACAAAGUUGCUUCUCUAACCGCGAGCAUUUCUAUUGAGAACUACUUGCAAUGUGGAAGGAGCCAUUCAUCAAGCAAUUUCUGUAUAGUGUUCAUUUUUUCUGAUUCCUUGGCAAACUAUACACUUUGUGUAUAGUUCUUGCUUUAGAAUUCACCUAUUUUAGGAAUCAUUGAUAUUUUCUCAAUUGUUUGUGAACGAAGAUCGAGGAACUGAUAAGAGAGUUAAUUAUUUUUUGUGCUAAUUUAGUUUGGUGAUCAAAUUUGUAUUCUUCAAUUCCUUCAUCUAAUGAAGAUAUUUUUUGUGCUC